AUCAAAUCAAGUACAAAAGGAAAUGCAACCUAAGCUUCACAACUAUAAUAUAAAGGCAAAAGUAUUUCUUGUACGAAAACCUACCUUCCACAGCCUUCUAUAUCACACACACCAAAGUAGAAAGUAAUCUACACAAUGUCUCAGACUGAAGUUAGCCUCCACAAUAUAAAUCCAGAAGCAAUCCAUUUGUAUCGUCUUCCCUCGCUGCAUAACAAUGGCUCUUAAGUAGAACAGCAAGAUCUAUUUGAAUAGUUGCCAGAAUCCGCAACAUUGAUUGUCGUUCCGGA
rnacentral:misc_RNA from 1 species